UAUAUAGGCCUGUACGUCAGAGUUACUUCUACAACGACGAUAGGUUCAACUACAACUAUGCGCAGGCCAAAGCCACAGCAGGCAACUACAAGGAAGCAGAGGAGAUUUUUGUGCUCAUUCAGAGUGAGAAGAUCAAGAAUGACUACACGUGUCUCUGGUUGGCAAGAUGCUACAUCGUGAAUCGUAAGGCCAGACUAGCCUGGGAGUUGUACCUUAAGAUGGAGACGUCUGGCGAAUCGUUCAGCCUGCUGUAGCUCAUUGCCAACGACGGCUACAAGAGAAACACUGCGAGACAUCCUCCAAAUCUUGUGCAACACCGGUAACCCACAGGUGGAAUACAUCAUCCGUGUCAU
rnacentral:misc_RNA from 1 species